AGAGUUUGAUCCUGGCUCAGAUUGAACGCUGGCGGCAUGCCUUACACAUGCAAGUCGAACGGCAGCACGGGAGCAAUCCUGGUGGCGAGUGGCGAACGGGUGAGUAAUACAUCGGAACGUGCCCAGUAAUGGGGGAUAGCCCGGCGAAAGCCGGAUUAAUACCGCAUACGACCUACGGGUGAAAGCGGGGGAUUCGCAAGAACCUCGCGUUAUUGGAGCGGCCGAUGUCAGAUUAGGUAGUUGGUGGGGUAAAGGCCUACCAAGCCUGCGAUCUGUAGUUGGUCUGAGAGGACGACCAGCCACACUGGGACUGAGACACGGCCCAGACUCCUACGGGAGGCAGCAGUGGGGAAUUUUGGACAAUGGGCGCAAGCCUGAUCCAGCAAUGCCGCGUGCAGGAAGAAGGCCUUCGGGUUGUAAACUGCUUUUGUCAGGGAAGAAAUCCUCUGGGUUAAUACCUCGGGGGGAUGACGGUACCUGAAGAAUAAGCACCGGCUAACUACGUGCCAGCAGCCGCGGUAAUACGUAGGGUGCGAGCGUUAAUCGGAAUUACUGGGCGUAAAGCGUGCGCAGGCGGUUGUGCAAGACAGGUGUGAAAUCCCCGGGCUUAACCUGGGAACUGCACUUGUGACUGCACGGCUAGAGUACGGUAGAGGGGGAUGGAAUUCCGCGUGUAGCAGUGAAAUGCGUAGAUAUGCGGAGGAACACCGAUGGCGAAGGCAAUCCCCUGGACCUGUACUGACGCUCAUGCACGAAAGCGUGGGGAGCAAACAGGAUUAGAUACCCCGGUAGUCC
rnacentral:rRNA from 1 species